GAAUCCCACAGGACGUAAACCCAAGGUUUCCAGGGGAAGGUUCGUCCGCCCUGGGUUAGUCGGGACCUAAGCUGCGGCCGAAAGGCGUAGGUGAUGGACAACAGGUUGAUAUUCCUGUACUACCGAUAACCGUUUGAGAGAAGGGAUGACACAGUAGGAUAAGCUAAGCACACUGUUGGUUAUGUGUGACCAAGCAUUGAGG
rnacentral:rRNA from 1 species